rnacentral:rRNA from 1 species
GACGUAGGGCGCGAGCGUUGUCCGGAUUUAUUGGGCGUAAAGAGCUCGUAGGCGGCUUGUCGCGUCGACUGUGAAAACCCGUGGCUCAACCAUGUGGUCUGCAGUCGAUACGGGCAGGCUAGAAUUCGGUAGGGGAGACUGGAAUUCCUGGUGUAGCGGUGAAAUGCGUAGAUAUCUGGAGGAACACCGGUGGCGAAGGCGGCAUCCUGGACCGAUACUGACGCUGAGGAGCGAAAGCCAGGGGAGCAAACGGG